AUUGAACGCUGGCGGCAGGCCUAACACAUGCAAGUCGAACGAGUGGCGGACGUGUGAGUAAUGUCUGUGAAACUGCCUGAUGGAGGGGGAUAACUACUGGAAACGGUAGUUAAUACCGCAUACCAUCAGAUGUGCCCAGAUGGGAGUCGCUUGUUGGUGGGGUAACGGCUCACCAAGGCGACGAUCCCUAGCUGGUCUGAGGGGAUGACCAGCCAAACUGGAAAGGUGACAAGGGCCAGACUCCUACGGGAGGCACGAGUGGGGAAGAAUGCACAAUGGGCGGAAGCCGAAUGCAGCCAUGGGGGGUGUAUGAAGAAGGCCUUCGGGUUGUAAAGUACUUUCAGCGGGGAGGCGUUACCCGCAGAAGGAGUACCGGCUAACUCCGUGCCAGCAGCCGCGGUAAUAC
rnacentral:rRNA from 1 species